rnacentral:rRNA from 1 species
AUGGCCAGCGCGGCGGAGAGCUCUGGCGGCGCCACUGCCACCCGGCGCGUGCUGAUGUUCCCGCUGCCGUUUCAGGGACACCUCAACCCGAUGCUGCAGCUGGCCGACGUGCUGCACGCCCGGGGCCUCCGCGUCACCAUCUUCCACGCCGCCUUCAACGCCCCGGACCCUGAGCGCUACCCCGCGGGUUACCGCUUCGUGCCCGUCGGCGCCGGCGUGCCUACCGCCGACCUCGUCCCCACCGGCAGUAACGCCGACUUCGCUGGGGCGGUGCUGCGCAUCAACGAGCGCCUGCAGGCGCCUUUCCAGGACAGCCUCCGCGCGGUGCUGGAGGAGGACGAGGAGGGAGCGGCGGUGUGCCUCGUGCUGGACUCCAACCUCCGUGGGAUGCAGGUGGUCGCCGACCGGCUCGGCGUGCCGACGCUGGUGCUGCGUACGGCCGGCGCGGCCUGCCUCGUCGCCUUCAUGGCCUUCCCGGCGCUCUGCGACAAGGGCCUCCUCCCACCACAAGACCAUUCACAACUCAACAUGCCACUGGACGAUCUCCAACCACUCCGGGUGCGAGAUAUGGUCUUCUCAACCACAAGUCCACAUGAAACAAUCUCCACCUGUCUAGAAUGCAUCGUGGAAUCAGUAAGGUGUUCUUCCGGUGUCAUCUUCAGCACAUUCUGUGACCUCGAAGAUGUUGAGCUUCAAAAGGUCAAUGAUAGCGUGGGUGUCCCAGUGUACGCGAUUGGUCCGCUUCACAAGAUAUCUUCAGGUCCCCAGAGCAGCCUGCUGGCUCCAGAUCGGACUUGUUUGGAUUGGCUGGACAAGCAGGAGGACGAGUCUGUUUUGUUCGUGAGCUUUGGGAGCUUGGCGUCGAUGGACAAGGAAGAGCUAAUGGAGACUGCAUUGGGCUUGGCCAAUAGCCGCAUUCCAUUUCUUUGGGUGAUCAGGCAUGACUUGCUUCAUGGUUCAGAGAAGGUAGGCCUACCUGAUGGCUUUGAGGAAGCGGUACAAGGUACGGGAAUGGUGGUGAGUUGGGCCCCACAACAAGAAGUUCUUGGGCACCAAGCAGUUGGUGGAUUUUGGACCCAUAAUGGCUGGAACUCGACGUUGGAGAGCAUAAGUGAGGGUGUUCCAAUGCUAUGUAGACCCCAUUUCGCCGACCAGAUGAUAAAUGCAAGGUAUGUCCAGGAGGUGUGGAAGAUAGGAUUUGAGUUAGAGGGCAAGUUGGAGAGGGGGGAGAUUGAGAGGAAUGUUCGAAACUUGUUGUGCCAAGAAGUAGGUGGAGAAAUGAGGCGAAGGGCAAAAGAUCUGAAGGACAAAGCAACCCGAUGCAUCAAGAAAGGAGGCUCUUCGCAAACUAGAGUUGAUUUGUUGGUGAAUUUUAUAACGUCACUACCUUCUUCCAUUUAG